rnacentral:rRNA from 1 species
AUUGAACGCUGGCGGAAUGCUUUACACAUGCAAGUCGAACGGCAGCACGGGGCAACCUGGUGGCGAGUGGCGAACGGGUGAGUAAUACAUCGGAACGUGCCCAAUCGUGGGGGAUAACGUAGCGAAAGUUACGCUAAUACCGCAUACGAUCUACGGAUGAAAGCGGGGGAUCGCAAGACCUCGCGCGAAUGGAGCGGCCGAUGUCAGAUUAGGUAGUUGGGGGGGUAAAGGCUCACCAAGCCGACGAUUUGUAGCUGGUCUGAGAGGACGACCAGCCACACUGGGACUGAGACACGGCCCAGACUCAUGCGGGAGGCAGCAGUGGGGAAUUUUGGACAAUGGGCGCAAGCCUGAUCCAGCCAUUCCGCGUGCAGGAUGAAGGCCUUCGGGUUGUAAACUGCUUUUGUACGGAACGAAACGGUUCUCUCUAAUACAGGGGGCUAAUGACGGUACCGUAAGAAUAAGCACCGGCUAACUACGUGCCAGCCGCCGCCGUAAAAC